rnacentral:rRNA from 1 species
CCUACGGGUGGCAGCAGUGAGGAAUAUUGGUCAAUGGACGAGAGUCUGAACCAGCCAAGUAGCGUGAAGGAUGACUGCCCUAUGGGUUGUAAACUUCUUUUAUAUGGGAAUAAAAUGUUCCACGUGUGGGCUUUUGUAUGUACCAUAUGAAUAAGGAUCGGCUAACUCCGUGCCAGCAGCCGCGGUAAUACGGAGGAUCCGAGCGUUAUCCGGAUUUAUUGGGUUUAAAGGGAGAGUAGGUGGAUUGUUAAGUCAGUUGUGAAAGUUUGCGGCUCAACCGGAAAAUUGCAGUUGAAACUGGCAGUCUUGAGUACAGUAGAGGUGAGCGGAAUUCGAGGUGUAGCGGUGAAAUGCUUAGAUAUCACGAAGAACACCGAUUGCGAAGGCAGCUCACUGGACUGCAACUGACACUGAGGCUCGAAAGUGUGGGUAUCAAACAGGAUUAGAUACCCCUGUAGUC